UACAGAGGGGGCAAGCGUUGUUAGGAAUUACUGGGCGUAAAGGGCGCGUAGGCGGCCUGCUAAGUCGAACGUGAAAUCCCUGGGCUCAACCCAGGAACUGCGUCCGAUACUGAUUGGCUUGAAUCCGGGAGAGGGAUGCGGAAUUCCAGGUGUAGCGGUGAAAUGCGUAGAUAUCUGGAGGAACACCGGUGGCGAAGGCGGCAUCCUGGACCGGCAUUGACGCUGAGGCGCGAAAGCCAGGGGAGCAAACGGG
rnacentral:rRNA from 1 species